AUACAGAGGGUGCGAGCGUUAAUCGGAAUUACUGGGCGUAAAGCGUGCGUAGGCGGUUUGUUAAGUCAGAAGUGAAAGCCCUGGGCUCAACCUGGGAACGGCUUUUGAGACUGGCAGACUCGAGUUGAGUAGAGGGGAGUGGAAUUUCCGGUGUAGCGGUGAAAUGCGUAGAGAUCGGAAGGAACACCAGUGGCGAAGGCGACUCCCUGGACUCAAACUGACGCUGAGGUACGAAAGCGUGGGUAGCAAACAGGAUUAGAUACCCUAGUAGUCC
rnacentral:rRNA from 1 species